CUUUUGUAUAAUGGGUCAGCGACUUAUAUUCAGUGGCAAGCUUAACCGUAUAGGGUAGGCGUAGCGAAAGCGAGUCUUAAUAGGGCGUUUAGUCGCUGGGUAUAGACCCGAAACCGGGCGAUCUAUCCAUGAGCAGGUUGAAGGUUAGGUAACACUGACUGGAGGACCGAACCCACUCCCGUUGAAAAGGUAGGGGAUGACUUGUGGAUCGGAGUGAAAGGCUAAUCAAGCUCGGAGAUAGCUGGUUCUCCUCGAAAGCUAUUUAGGUAGCGCCUCAUGUAUCACUCUGGGGGGUAGAGCACUGUUUCGGCUAGGGGGUCAUCCCGACUUACCAAACCGAUGCAAACUCCGAAUACCCAGAAGUGCCGAGCAUGGGAGACACACGGCGGGUGCUAACGUCCGUCGUGAANAGGGAAACAACCCAGACCGCCAGCUAAGGUCCCAAAGUUGUGGUUAAGUGGUAAACGAUGUGGGAAGGCUUAGACAGCUAGGAGGUUGGCUUAGAAGCAGCCAUCCUUUAAAGAAAGCGUAAUAGCUCACUAGUCGAGUCGGCCUGCGCGGAAGAUGUAACGGGGCUCAAACCACACACCGAAGCUGCGGGUGUCACGUAAGUGACGCGGUAGAGGAGCGUUCUGUAAGCCUGUGAAGGUGAGUUGAGAAGCUUGCUGGAGGUAUCAGAAGUGCGAAUGCUGACAUGAGUAACGACAAUGGGUGUGAAAAACACCCACGCCGAAAGACCAAGGGUUCCUGCGCAACGUUAAUCGACGCAGGGUUAGUCGGUUCCUAAGGCGAGGCUGAAAAGCGUAGUCGAUGGGAAACAGGUUAAUAUUCCUGUACUUCUGGUUACUGCGAUGGAGGGACGGAGAAGGCUAGGCCAGCUUGGCGUUGGUUGUCCAAGUUUAAGGUGGUAGGCUGAAAUCUUAGGUAAAUCCGGGGUUUCAAGGCCGAGAGCUGAUGACGAGUCGUCUUUUAGAUGACGAAGUGGUUGAUGCCAUGCUUCCAAGAAAAGCUUCUAAGCUUCAGGUAACCAGGAACCGUACCCCAAACCGACACAGGUGGUCGGGUAGAGAAUACCAAGGCGCUUGAGAGAACUCGGGUGAAGGAACUAGGCAAAAUGGCACCGUAACUUCGGGAGAAGGUGCGCCGGCUAGGGUGAAGGAUUUACUCCGUAAGCUCUGGCUGGUCGAAGAUACCAGGCCGCUGCGACUGUUUAUUAAAAACACAGCACUCUGCAAACACGAAAGUGGACGUAUAGGGUGUGACGCCUGCCCGGUGCCGGAAGGUUAAUUGAUGGGGUUAGCGCAAGCGAAGCUCUUGAUCGAAGCCCCGGUAAACGGCGGCCGUAACUAUAACGGUCCUAAGGUAGCGAAAUUCCUUGUCGGGUAAGUUCCGACCUGCACGAAUGGCGUAACGAUGGCGGCGCUGUCUCCACCCGAGACUCAGUGAAAUUGAAAUCGCUGUGAAGAUGCAGUGUAUCCGCGGCUAGACGGAAAGACCCCGUGAACCUUUACUGUAGCUUUGCACUGGACUUUGAGCCUGCUUGUGUAGGAUAGGUGGGAGGCUUUGAAGCGUGGACGCCAGUUCGCGUGGAGCCAUCCUUGAAAUACCACCCUGGCAUGCUUGAGGUUCUAACUCUGGUCCGUAAUCCGGAUCGAGGACAGUGUAUGGUGGGCAGUUUGACUGGGGCGGUCUCCUCCUAAAGAGUAACGGAGGAGUACGAAGGUGCGCUCAGACCGGUCGGAAAUCGGUCGCAGAGUAUAAAGGCAAAAGCGCGCUUGACUGCGAGACAGACACGUCGAGCAGGUACGAAAGUAGGUCUUAGUGAUCCGGUGGUUCUGUAUGGAAGGGCCAUCGCUCAACGGAUAAAAGGUACUCCGGGGAUAACAGGCUGAUACCGCCCAAGAGUUCAUAUCGACGGCGGUGUUUGGCACCUCGAUGUCGGCUCAUCACAUCCUGGGGCUGAAGCCGGUCCCAAGGGUAUGGCUGUUCGCCAUUUAAAGUGGUACGCGAGCUGGGUUUAGAACGUCGUGAGACAGUUCGGUCCCUAUCUGCCGUGGACGUUUGAGAUUUGAGAGGGGCUGCUCCUAGUACGAGAGGACCGGAGUGGACGAACCUCUGGUGUUCCGGUUGUCACGCCAGUGGCAUUGCCGGGUAGCUAUGUUCGGAAAAGAUAACCGCUGAAAGCAUCUAAGCGGGAAACUUGCCUCAAGAUGAGAUCUCACUGGGAACUUGAUUCCCCUGAAGGGCCGUCGAAGACUACGACGUUGAUAGGCUGGGUGUGUAAGCGUUGUGAGGCGUUGAGCUAACCAGUACUAAUUGCCCGUGAGGCUUGACCAU
rnacentral:rRNA from 1 species